GCCCCAAUGGCGUAAUUGGAAAACGUAGCAGCCUUAGAAACUGUUUUCUCUAGGUUCGAAUCCUAGUUGGGGUA
rnacentral:tRNA from 1 species